rnacentral:rRNA from 1 species
CUACGGGUUGCUGCAGUGAGGAAUAUUGCACAAUGGGGGGAACCCUGAUGCAGCAACGCCGCGUGGAGGAUGACGCAUUUCGGUGUGUAAACCCCUUUUAUAUGUCAAGAAAAUGACGGUAGCAUAUGAAUAAGCACCGGCUAACUCCGUGCCAGCAGCCGCGGUAAUACGGAGGGUGCAAGCGGUACUCGGAAUCACUGGGCGUAAAGGACGCGUAGGCGGGUUGGAAAGUCAGGUGUGAAAUCCUACAGCUUAACUGUAGAACUGCACUUGAAACUUCUAAUCUAGAGUAUGGGAGGGGGAGAUGGAAUUAGUGGUGUAGGGGUAAAAUCCGUAGAUAUCACUAGGAAUACCUAAAGCGAAGGCGAUCUCCUGGAACAUUACUGACGCUAAGGCGUGAAAGCGUGGGGAGCAAACAGGAUUAGAUACCCGAGUAGUC